UACGUAGGGUGCGAGCGUUGUCCGGAAUUAUUGGGCGUAAAGAGCUCGUAGGCGGUUUGUCGCGUCGGCUGUGAAAACCCGAGGCUUAACCUCGGGCCUGCAGUCGAUACGGGCAGACUAGAGUUCGGUAGGGGAGACUGGAAUUCCUGGUGUAGCGGUGAAAUGCGCAGAUAUCAGGAGGAACACCGGUGGCGAAGGCGGGUCUCUGGGCCGAUACUGACGCUGAGGAGCGAAAGCGUGGGGAGCGAACAGG
rnacentral:rRNA from 1 species